rnacentral:lncRNA from 1 species
UGGGGGAUGGCUUAUAGGGAGCCCAAGUGGAAGUGGUAUGGGAUUGGUGGAAAUCUGACAAUGUAGGCAUCACCGCAUUACCAAUCUUGUACGAUCAUCGGUUAGGUGUUGAUGUCUGUGACACUAUUUGGGUCACAUGAGGUUACUCAGAUCAUGUGCUUUGUAUCACUAGGUCAUGAUGCCACAUGUCUACGAUGCCUUUAAAAAUUGGAUGCAUCUUCAGAUGGACCAAAUAUGGUAUAACACUUUGCCCCCCACUUCUUAGUGCGAAGUAUUUUGCACUGAAAAGUAGGUCUUCUUUUGAAUUUUGAAGUCGUGCAUUGGAGUGAGCUUCAAUGUAGUUGUGAGAUUCCACUAACAUGGUAGAACUAGUC